rnacentral:misc_RNA from 1 species
AGCAGCCGCGGUAAUUCCAGCUCCAAUAGCGUAUAUUAAAGUUGUUGCAGUUAAAAAGCUCGUAGUUGAACUUCGGGGUUUACUCAUUGGUCAGGCUUAAUUGUCUGUACUGGUGAGAUGAAUCUCUACCUUCUGAGGAACUUUCAUGCCAUUUAUUUGGUGUGAUUGGAAAUCAGGACUGUUACUUUGAAAAAUUAGAGUGUUUAAAGCAGGCUAACGUCUGAAUACAUUAGCAUGGAAUAAUGAAAUAGGACGGAUUGAUUCUAUUUCGUUGGUUUCUAGGGUCACCGUAAUGAUUAAUAGGGAUAGUUGGGGGCAUUAGUAUUCAAUUGUCAGAGGUGAAAUUCUUGGAUUUAUUGAAGACUAACUACUGCGAAAGCAUUUGCCAAGGAUGUUUUCAUUAAUCAAGAACGAAAGUUAGGGGAUCGAAGACGAUCAGAUACCGUCGUAGUC